rnacentral:rRNA from 1 species
UGGGGAAUAUUGCACAAUGGGCGCAAGCCUGAUGCAGCCAUGCCGCGUGUGUGAAGAAGGCUCUAGGGUUGUAAAGCACUUUCAGCGAGGAGGAAAGGGUGAUGUUUAAUACGCAUCAUCUGUGACGUUACUCGCAGAAGAAGCACCGGCUAACUCCGUGCCAGCAGCCGCGGUAAUACGGAGGGUGCGAGCGUUAAUCGGAAUUACUGGGCGUAAAGCGCGCGUAGGCGGUUUGUUAAGCGAGAUGUGAAAUCCCCGGGCUCAACCUGGGAACUGCAUUUCGAACUGACAGGCUAGAGUACAGAAGAGGGUGGUGGAAUUUCCAGUGUAGCGGUGAAAUGCGUAGAGAU